CUUCCGGGUCACUGCCUCCGGGUCACUGCUUCCGGGUCAAGUCUGUUUACUAGUUUCACACUGAUUUACAUGAAGAGCCUGAGAAUUUCACUCUGAGCCCAACAAUGAGUGCAACUUUUCCAAUCAGUUCCUGGCAGGGAGAAGAUACAAAGUGGUAGCGCUCACAGCGAUGGGAGACAGGUGCCUGACUCCCAAAGUGUGAGCAUUUCUACAAAUGAGCAGGGGCACGGGCCCCCAGGAACACUCUGGUGCUGACGUGGCUGCCUUCUUCCCUCUGGGAAGCCUGCGACGGUAUCUCUCCAUCUGUGUCAUGUAUGGAAAAUUUUGUUUCACACAUUUCUGAUGUUCAUUUUGGGACAGAAUAAUGAAGUUUAAAAUAUCUACUUUAAAUCUAAACUACGUGUAAUAAAAACUGUGUGAAUUUUAA